rnacentral:misc_RNA from 1 species
GAUGAAGAACGUAGCGAAAUGCGAUAAGUAAUGUGAAUUGCAGAAUUCAGUGAAUCAUCGAAUCUUUGAACGCACAUUGCGCCCGCCAGUAUUCUGGCGGGCAUGCCUGUUCGAGCGUCAUUUCAACCAUCAAGCCCCAGGCUUGUGUUGGGGACCUGCGGCUGCCGCAGGCCCUGAAAACCAGUGGCGGGCUCGCUAGUCACACCGAGCGUAGUAGCAUACACAUCGCUCAGGGCGUGCUGCGGGUUCCGGCCGUUAAACCCCUUUUUUACCCAAGGUUGACCUCGGAUCAGGUAGGGAGACCCGCUGAACUUAAGCAUAUCAAUAAGCGGAGGA